rnacentral:rRNA from 1 species
GAUGAACGCUGGCGGCGUGCCUAAUACAUGCAAGUCGAGCGAACGGACGAGACGCUUGCUUCUCUGAUGUUAGCGGCGGACGGGUGAGUAACACGUGGAUAACUUACCUAUAAGACUGGGAUAACUUCGGGACACCGGAGCUAGUAACGGAUAAUAUUUUGAACCUCAUGGUUCAAAAGUGAAAGACGGUAUUGCUGUAACUUAUAGAUGGAUCCGCGCUGCAUUAGCUAGUUGGUAAGGUAACGGCUUACCAAGGAAACGAUGCAUAGCCGACCUGAGAGGGUGUCCGGCCACACUGGAAUGGAGACACGGUCCAGACUCCUACGGGAGGCAGCAGAAGGGAAUCUCCCGCAUGGGGCGAAAGCCUGACGGAGCAACGCCGCGUGGUGGAUGAAGUUCUUCGGAUCUUAAAACUCUGUGAUUAGGGAAGAACAUAUGGGUAAGGAACUGUGCACAUCGUGACGGUACCUAAUCAGAAAGCCACGGCUAACUACGUG